AGAAUGCAAGGCACUGACAAACAGUUGUUACAGCAUCAAAUAGGCAUGUUUUUCCCCUUUUGGAACGCAGUUGCAAGGUUGUCAAUUUAAUGGGUAUACAUGCACCGAUGAACUGUUUUUAUGAACAGUUUUUACAGCUGGUUUUGCACUUUUCAUAGCAUCAAAUAGGCAUGUUUUCCCUUUCUGGAAUUUUCAUUGCACCAAAUAGGCAUGUUUUCCCUUUCUGGAACGCAGUUCCAAGCUUGUGACCUGUAUGAGACAAGCCCAUUAUAUAAUCAGCUUCAGUAAUUUACAUAGCCAGUGAAGGGUAGUUUGGUGUUGAAGUGAGAAGCAAUGAAGAAUUUUGUAGUCGUAUUCCCCUUGGUGAUUUUGCUCCGUGGAUGCGUAUGCGUUGCAGCAUUACCUUCCUCAUUACCAUAAAGAUGGCGAUUUGCCUCUGAGUGUGGAUGCAUCUUUUAUCGUUCAGUCCGACAAAUUAUCACCGUCUUUAUGGAGGUCAGGAAGGUCGAUGUUCUAUUGACCAGACCUUCGGAAACAACCGAUCUUGAUUUCGUUUUCGUUUUGCUUGAGGUUUGAAAAGUUGUUGAGGCCUAGAUUAUAAGUGGCAUUGUUUGUCUUUCCUGCAACAUAGCUGGGGAGCAAGAUCGUUUUACUAGUUGUUGGGGAUCUCCAUCUCCACCGCCUGUUUCCAAUGCUGGUAGGGUUUCACCUUCAACUUGUGCAAUGUGUCCUUUCCAAUGUCACCUGCAACUACAGUUUAUGCAUCUCCUUCAAAUGUGCAUGGUUUGGAGUCAAAUGGGUUAGCCAUCAUUGUUGUAAGUGUUGCAAAUAGGUUGAAUACCAUGAGCCUUCAAUCUCCAUGCAAGCAAUGGUGGUUGAUCCUGGAUCUGGUAUGCGAUCCAGUGGACAGAAUCUGAGGGAAUAUAUCGCGAGGGAGGAUCACUGCUCAGCUGUGAUGUUCACAUAUUUCUCUUUGGGGAAGACCCUCGACCCUGCUAGGGAUUCAUUCUCCGGCGGACCCAUUCGCCCUUAUUUUUGCCUAUGGCUUUCAUAUACACAAUUUUUUCCAAUAGGAGGCUUGUUCAUUGCACCAAGGAACCUUUAAACCUAAAUUUUGUUGCAUCAUUAACAAAAGAGCUGUGUGAAAAUGAGGAAUUUUUUUUAGGGAAUGGACUUAUUGGAAAGUUUAGCCAGUUCUGGCCCAGCCUUCCAGAAUUCCAUGAUUAGAUUUCUAAAUCAUGUCUCCCCUUAAUAGAGGAAAAAUUGUAAAUUUAUCCAAAUGCAAGGGGUUUCUUUACUGUAGUUUUUGAUAGUAAGAAUGAUAGAAAUACCAUUCUAAGCUAUGUCUGGCCAUGGAGACAAAGUAUGUUGAUGUUAAGAUCUUGGCAGCCACACCUUAAUCCAUGCACAAACUUUUUAUGUCAUGUUGA